UUUAGAAAAACGAAUGCCACUGAUUGAUGAUAUGAUUGUGAUCAUAUGGAUCUUUAUUUAUACAGUCACAAUAUAACCUUUAGUUAUCCCUUCCAUGUUUUAAAUGGGAUUGAACCAAAGGACGUCCUUUUAAUUUACGUCAGAAUUUCUAUAUAUAUGUAUAAAAAAACACUUUUGUUCCCGUAUUUAAUUACAAGGUAAAACGGUGCUUUUUAUGGUGUUCCGGAUAUGGACCGGUCCGGUCACAAGAGUGUCCGAAUGCUGGAGGAUUCACAUGUGAGUUGCUUGGACGUUUGUCCUGCUUGGGACGGUGAUUUGUCAUCGAAGAUGCAAAUGGCUUGACACCCGGUCACAAGACAUGUAUUAUUUAUUGGAGUCAGUUGGCUGUAAAUAUAUCAAUCAGUUACCUGUU